UAUAUAUAUAUAUAUAUAUAUAUAUAUAUAUAUAUAUAUAUAUAAACCUUAAUUUUCUGGUGCCUUCUAAAUCAAAAUCGCACCCUUCUAUAGACUCCACGUCAUCUAUUUUUGGACAGACGUAAUGUUCCAUAAUUUCGAUUAACACUCUUCUUUCUCCCUCUUCGAAACUAUCCGACACACAUGUUCAACACUUUGGAGAAUCGUUACCUUGAUGUUUCAGCCAUUUGAAACCGCCCCAUUCCACUGUUUCCCUCCGCCGAAAGCCAUCAUCCCCGUCUAAUAAAUCCCAAACCUUUAUUCUAACCCAUGGAGGGUGAAAAUCGAGAGCUACAGAGAGUGAAGCCUGGUCAACCAGUUUAUUUUUCGGGGACUGGUCCACGUUUUCUCUAUUUAAUCCCCAUCGAUCGUCUGAAUCCUUUUUAUUCCAUCGAUACCAUCACCACGACCCAUUUCCCGAUUAAUCAUCGUUAGCAUCAUAAUUCGUCAAAUCGAUCUAAAUGCUUAAGUUUCUUCUUCUCAAUUUCAAUCGCCAACACCAAUAUCUAUGCCUAUUUUAUUUGAAUUUCUGGUGGAAGAGAACAACAAGCGUCAGUGGUGUCGAUCAGUGGCUUUGAGUAUAUCGUUGAAUCAAUUUACAGCGAUGAAGACUUUCAAAGUCGUUCCUUAUGGUGCUUAUGUUCGAUUCGGGAUUAAUCCAAGAUUGGAUGUUAAAACCCUAAAUUAUCCGAUGGAUAUCAAAUUGUGAAUACCAAUGUAGAGAACUCUCAUUUAGGCUUACUGACUUUCUACCGUUAACACCAAGCAAGCAUCCUUGGUUGCACUACCAAGAAAAGAUUCCUACAAAUAAGGGAACAUAAACAUGCUACUGUAAUUCUGGAAAUCUUUCUCCUUUGCAAGUACUAAGUGGACAAGUUUAUAUUGAAAAUUUUAAGCAUUAAUGUCAUAAUAACAUUUUUACUGAUUUCACAGGCUUCAAGGAAGGUUGUUUGUUAUCGUUGGUUUGUUUCCUUUUAUUUUUCCUGUGUGACCUAAUUCUCAUUAGUUUCAUGAACUUUAUGUAUUUGAUUUUUACAAAAUUCUGAACAUGAUACAAUAAACAUAAUUGGGACA